rnacentral:rRNA from 1 species
GACGAACCGUGCGAACGUUGUUCGGAAUCACUGGGCGUAAAGGGCGCGUAGGCGGCGCGGCAAGUCUGUGGUGAAAGCCCGAGGCUCAACUUCGGGUCGGCCAUGGAUACUGCUGCGCUCGAGCACUGUAGAGGCAGGUGGAAUUCCGGGUGUAGCGGUGGAAUGCGUAGAGAUCCGGAAGAACACCGGUGGCGAAGGCGGCCUGCUGGGCAGUAGCUGACGCUGAGGCGCGACAGCGUGGGGAGCAAACAGG